rnacentral:lncRNA from 1 species
UAAAAGAUCAGAUGUUGAAUUUAUAUUAAUUUGUUUACUUUAAUGAUUGUUGACAAAUUGACAAGCGUACCAAAUCGUACAAGUAAUAAUAAAAUGGUAAGUCCAAGUAUCGUUUUCCCAAGAGACUCACGACACUAAAAUGUUGUGCUUUUGCUUAACCAAUCAAGACUAUAAAAAUAAUAUUUUGGGAUUUUUUUAAAGUGCAGAAAAAUAAACAUGAAUGCAAUUUGAUCAAUUGAGGUUAAACACAAAAGUGGAUGAAUGAAUGGAGUUGUUGGGGGUUUACAAUUUCAUUUAAUCUGCUCUCUCUUACCUACUACCCUUGAAUAUUAGUUUGAUUAAUUCAAUUGUUAUGCGACUUUCUUAGCCUCCCCUUAACCCGAUCCCUCGGUGAAAAGGGCCUAAUAUUAACUACUGGCUUGCUAUCCCUAGCCUCCCCUAGUAAUUAAUACCGCGUUAUAAACAGAAGUUAGCGCAAUUGAUCGUCCUACCCCUAUCCCUAGGUGGUAUUGCAAAAUCAAGAAAUUACUCACCAGUUCAUGUCAUUACUGUACGUCCCCAUAUCAAUAAAGACAAACAUCAGUUACCGAAUGAGUUAAACGAUAAAGGCCUUAAGCACAGAUGAUAACCCAACAAUUAUCAAUCAAAACAUAUGGAGACCAUAUAAAUAAUCAAGAGUUUCAAUAAAAGAGAGCAUCAAAAGAUUACAUUGUUUCCCCCAAUAACAAUAGGGUGUAGUUCACCAUUGUCAUAAUGAAUCUAGACGAAGAAUGGAAUGAAAGAGAUACAAACCCUAAAAAGGAGAAAAUGAGAGUUGUCACCAUCUCCAAAUCUACCCCAAAGGGGUUAAAAGUGUGUUUCUGUGCCUAAGCCAUCAAAAGAUACAAACCCUAAGACGUUCUGGCCUUUAAAUAGGGCAUAAAAAUAACAUAAAACAAGCCCAAGCCCAAACAGAUCAUAAAAAACACAGAAAACAGGUCCAAGCCCAG